rnacentral:misc_RNA from 1 species
GAAAUGCGAUACGUAGUGUGAAUUGCAGAAUUCAGUGAAUCAUCGAAUCUUUGAACUCACAUUGCGCCCUUUGCUAUUCCAAAGGGCAUGCCUGCUCGAGCGUCAUUUGUACCCUCAAGCUUUGCUUGGUGUUGGGCGUCUUUUGUCUCAAGUUCGCUGGAGACUCGCCUUAAAGUCAUUGGCAGCCGGCCUACUGGUUUCGGAGCGCAGCACAAGUCGCGUUCUUUGCCAGCCCAGGUCAGCCUCCAGCAAGCCUUUUUUUCAACCUUUGACCCCGGAUCAGGUAGGGAUACCCGCUGAACUUAA